rnacentral:lncRNA from 1 species
GUUCCUUCACUAGGACUUGAGGUUGGUAUGCUGGUACCUUCAGCAGUUGUAGGAGAUAAACUGGCUUCAGUAGAAGUGGUGACAGGUGUGCUGGUGUCAACAGGAGUUGUGGAAAGGGUGCUAGCCUCAGAACUGACCACUGGCGUGGUGCUGAAAGACAUAUUUGUUAGUGGAGUGCUUCCUUCACUAUAAGUUGAGGUUGGCAUGCUGGUACCGUCAGCAGUUGUAGAAGAUGAACUGGCUUGAGAAUAAGUGGUCACAGGUGUGCUGGUGUCAGCAGGAGUUGUUGAAAGUGUG